CUGGUGGCGAGUGGCGAACGGGUGAGUAAUACAUCGGAACGUGUCCUGUAGUGGGGGAUAGCCCGGCGAAAGCCGGAUUAAUACCGCAUACGCUCUACGGAGGAAAGGGGGGGAUCUUAGGACCUCUCGCUACAGGGGCGGCCGAUGGCAGAUUAGCUAGUUGGUGGGGUAAAGGCCUACCAAGGCGACGAUCUGUAGCUGGUCUGAGAGGACGACCAGCCACACUGGGACUGAGACACGGCCCAGACUCCUACGGGAGGCAGCAGUGGGGAAUUUUGGACAAUGGGGGCAACCCUGAUCCAGCAAUGCCGCGUGUGUGAAGAAGGCCUUCGGGUUGUAAAGCACUUUUGUCCGGAAAGAAAACUUCUGCCCUAAUACGGCGGGAGGAUGACGGUACCGGAAGAAUAAGCACCGGCUAACUACGUGCCAGCAGCCGCGGUAAUACGUAGGGUGCAAGCGUUAAUCGGAAUUACUGGGCGUAAAGCGUGCGCAGGCGGUCCGCUAAGACAGAUGUGAAAUCCCCGGGCUUAACCUGGGAACUGCAUUUGUGACUGGCGGGCUAGAGUAUGGCAGAGGGGGGUAGAAUUCCACGUGUAGCAGUGAAAUGCGUAGAGAUGUGGAGGAAUACCGAUGGCGAAGGCAGCCCCCUGGGCCAAUACUGACGCUCAUGCACGAAAGCGUGGGGAGCAAACAGGAUUAGAUACCCUGGUAGUCCACGCCCUAAACGAUGUCAACUAGUUGUUGGGGAUUCAUUUCCUUAGUAACGAAGCUAACGCGUGAAGUUGACCGCCUGGGGAGUACGGUCGCAAGAUUAAAACUCAAAGGAAUUGACGGGGACCCGCACAAGCGGUGGAUGAUGUGGAUUAAUUCGAUGCAACGCGAAAAACCUUACCUACCCUUGACAUGUAUGGAACCUGGCUGAGAGGUCGGGGUGCCCGAAAGGGAGCCAUAACACAGGUGCUGCAUGGCUGUCGUCAGCUCGUGUCGUG
rnacentral:rRNA from 1 species